CGGACGGGUGAGUAACACGUGGAAAACCUGCCGUAUACUGGGGGAUAACACUUAGAAAUAGGUGCUAAUACCGCAUAAGCGCACAGCUUCGCAUGAAGCGGUGUGAAAAACUCUGGUGGUAUACGAUGGUUCCGCGUCUGAUUAGCUAGUUGGUGGGGUAAUGGCCUACCAAGGCAACGAUCAGUAGCCGGCCUGAGAGGGUGAACGGCCACAUUGGGACUGAGACACGGCCCAAACUCCUACGGAAGGCAGCAG
rnacentral:rRNA from 1 species